CGCUAGCCCAUUUGGGAGUUUAUCUGUUUGUUCAUCUAAGGUUUUUCUAUCUUGAAUGAUAAAAUUUAUUUUUGACUAUUCACUCAAUUGAUUUGUUGCUGCAGCGAUGAUGGAGAUGGUGUGAUUACUAACAGUACGACUUCACCCUUGGAGAGUUGCAUGAAUACCAGAAAAUAGUUUGAGACGAUCUAACUUGUUAUAUAGCUCGGCAUCAAUUCCCAUCUCGGGGCAAUUCCAGACCAGUGUUGGUUCAGCUGCAACUUAGGGCAUCAUCGGACUCUGAUCUUCAAGCGAGUGACCACGUAGAUGAAAUUUACAAUCACUUUAAUCGGGUCGUCUCAGUACGAUAUUGGAGGAGAUCGUCAUCGCAACCAAAUAUUAUGAUCAAUCAAACUUUGGUCGGAUUGUUUUACUCAUGUCGGUUUAUAGCAUCAACCUUAGGUCUGGCCAUAACUGGGUUCAUCGGGGCAGCCUCAAUCAAUGAUCAUCUCCACCGAGUCUGUUCGUAGCAUGAAUCGAAAUUACAACAACUCAGCUUUGUGUAAUUCCAUGUCGGAACAAAUUGCAACACGAUUCAAUCUCAAUUUUGCUCAUCAAUGGAAAUUACAGCAACUCGGGGCAAGCUACAUAGCCCAACAACAAAUCGGGGCCAGCAACAUCGUCUAGUUCCGUUCGUCCACAAACCCUAGCUCGGGCAAUUCAUUUUAUCUCGGGAAAGAUCAACCAUAUCGGACGAGACUGUAGUUUCAUAUCAACUCGGGUUGAUCAAUUCAGGAAGAUUUAACUGGCUCGCCUCGGGAACUCAGUUCGGGAAAAUUGAGUCUGUUCGUUCUAGGAUAACACAUCUCCAUCGGGUUCUUCCUCUAUAACAGGGAAUAUUCUUAAUCCCUUAUCUAUGAUUUUACAAGUUAUGAUUUCGAACGUUGAGUGCUGUUUAAAUCCUCCUCAUAUAAGCCUGGUACAAGAGCGAUCGGGCUAGUCAAAUGCAAAUUAGAAUACUUUAGAAAGCAUGAAUAGUAUUUGUUUCAGUAUUCCCCAUAGCUAGGAAUUAUGAGUCUUCAAGCUUAACUUAAUGUCGGGUCAUCAUGAAACAACGUUGAAUGAGAAAUAAGGGAAAGGGUGAUGUCUUUCUAUAUAGUUUGUCACCAGGAAUGCGAAAGAGAUCGUGCGAAGUUAUUUCUCUGUAGUGAUUUGUUCUAGAACAUGCAAAAGCAGUCUAGGUUGUCUUUUUUGAAUUAAUAUGAAGAAGGCUGCCUACCGGGUCAACUGUACAGCUAAGUUUAAAACCCAUUUGGCUGUGUUAUUUCAAAUCCUUAAUGGUUUAUUGUCAAUGCUGUUAGUUUGAUUGGAUAGUGGCUUGUACGAGUUAGCUGUUUUCUGUGUUUCACAUCACUUACCCUCGUGUUUUGUUUUCUUAUACUUCGUUUUUGUUUGGGUCACUAACCAUUGCCCUUUACUUUGUCGUUACUUUUGGAUCCAGAGCGAUCGUUAUGAGGUUGUUGCGGAUUUAGUACUGACAAGCCUUCUUUUUUCAAUUCCCAUGGAUGUACCCAUGUCUUUUGCGACUCCCCUAGUUUCUGUGCAAUGGGCUCUUCGGUUCGAAUUCUUUGCCACUCCUAAGAACGUGGAUUGGACAAGAUACGAGCAUCCCCUUCUUAUUGAGGGAAGAGAUAAAGGGAAAUGGGUACUUCCGAUAACUGUACAUGCACCUCCACCACGAGUUCAGCCUGCUCAUACAAGAGGUGAAAGUCCCGAUUCUCUCGGACCCAUAUGGAGCCGUAACUGAAGGUGCAAAAAUUCAAUGCCGAGCAUCACUGAGAAGCAAAACGGUGUUGGCAGCACAAGCUCGAGCCUGAGGCGUUGACGUACUCUCCAAGGAAGGGGUAGCUUUGCUUACGAAGACGAAUCGAUUCUGUCUGAACAAGCCACCACAUGCCUCAUCAGUACGGAUUGUGUCGUAAUAUGUAACUAAUGCUUCUCCUUAGCAUGCACUACUGACAAUGGAGAGAAAGACCAGUGGUGGUGGCGAAGUUCCGAGACAAGAGCAUACCAUUGUGAUGUGGAAGUUAAACUCAAGGAUAGAUGAGGGUUGCGGCAGCAUCAAUUACAUCUGACAUAGGAGUAAGGAUCGAAGCUGAAAGUGCAGGUCAUGGCACCAGCCAUUGGAAUAAAAGAAAAAAGGAUGAUGGGAAUAAAAUCUCGUUAACUUGUGAACUGAACCUUCAGCGUUAUCACCAUUGAAGAGUGAUGUUAUGAUCAAUUACCUCGGACUAAUCGUCUCAGACAUGAUCAUCUCAGGAACACUCCAUCUCUAGCUGGACACCACAACUCAACUUCAAAGCUAUGACAGGAGAACCUACUAGAAGUCUAGAAUUAUGAAACUGAAUGAAGCAGCUAUGAAGUGGCGGAUGUUAACCCCACGGAUGAUUACAAGUCGCAUCAACAUCAACUACUUCUUUAGCACAGAAGAAGCUCUAAAAUCAAAACAAGGGGACUCUAACCACUCAGAAAAUCUGCAAACUAGUACAACAGAAUGGGAAAACUUCGGUCAACACACGAUUCAUAUAGCUCGGACAAAUCAGGCUAUGCAACACCAACAAUGAAGGUCAGCAAGCUUGUGGACCUUUGAGGGAAUCAGACGAGAUACGGCACUGACAUGAUGGCAUGGGAGAUUCGACGAUACUUGGAGCAACGUGUGACCGAAAUAUCCCACUAGUUUGUGACGCUGAACAGACAAGGGGCAAACACCGCUCCGAAGAUAAUAACUUGAGACACAAUGCGGCACCAACUACGUUUAGUACUCAGCUACUUCGAACCAGACACGCCACUGACCAAUAUAUAUUGGGCAUUCGUCAAUCUCAGAACCGGCUCAUGACUACUUCACCAUUUCGAUAAAUUGGGAGCAAGGCAGCUCGGGUCAACAAGCAACCACUCGGGCAUACCUUUCAUCGGAUGAGAACAGAUCAUUUCCAUCUUGGAAUCGAUUACCUCGCAGCAAUAGCCAACUACGUGAAGAUAUCAACACGACUAUUUGCCUAUCGAAACCUUUGUAUGUGAACACACCAAGCCUGACUACCAGUGAGACGAUAUCUCACCCUGUUGACAGUAAUCUAAUACGGAUGCAAUGUAGGACUCUGUCUAUCCUAACACAAAGCGUAUAGUCAGGGCGAAACUUGAAACAGACAAAUCGGGACAAACGGUAGAGUGGAGGCAUUCUUCUGGAGACAAAUGAUAACUCCAAGAUCAAGGAAAGAACUCGCAAAUUUUGGAAACCAAGCGAGACUGAAAUUGAACAUCUUCGGAACACAGUGUGUUGCAUGAAACGUACAAGGGUAAGGCGAUGGUAUGACAAAUGCCGCGAUAUACCAUUCGUACUCGGGUCAUCAAACAGAAUGGCCCGAGAUGGUCUAAGACUUCUGACUCCAACUUAGGCUACACGGGCUUUGGAAGAUAAUAACCUGGGGGAUGCCUUGGGUUGUUAGCGUACUGUAACACACAUGUCAUUCGUACUCGGAUCAUCAAACGGAAUGAUCCGAGGUGAUCUAAGAGCCCUGGACGAGCCAGGAGCUAACUUGUCAUUUAUUUAUGUAAAACCACGAGGGGUAGGAAAUAUGACAUGAGCGACUAAUGGUCACUCGUACUCGGGGCAAAGCCAGUGAGGAAGUGCCGAGGUGACUUACACUCGAAUGGUCAUUCGUACUCGCGGCACGCCAGUGUGGAAGUGUCGAGGUGACUUACAGUCGACUGGCUAUUCGAUACUCGGGGCAGUGGCAAUGUGCAAGUGCCGAGGUAGCCUAAGGGUUCUGGUGGUUGGAAGCCAGUUACUAAAGGCUGUUAAGAUACGAUUUCUUCUCAGCCAGUAUUGCAGAAAAACGAACAUGCUAAGACUAUGAACGGUCACGAAUGGAGAGUAAUACUAUGAACGGUCAUGCUAAGGUUACAAUCCCUACAACGAGGGAGAAAAGUCGAUUACGCAGCUUCAGAAGUUUGGUGAUGAACAUAUAAAUGCUUACGGUUGCAUAAGAAAAUUCGAUCUUGCAGGGGCAACACAAUGGCGAUAGAGGACUUAUCGGGUUAUCAGCGUGUGAAACUUGAAUAACAUACAUCAAAAUUUGCAAGUCGUCAAAUAACAGAAGCUGCUUUUAGGCUAUACCGAGACAUAUCGUUCGGCUCAAGAAUAAUAGCUGCAAAAGGGAAGCUUUCUUACCCUUAUGUUUUCAACUUUAGACUUUAUACAUUUUCUACUGCUAUUUACCAUUGAGACUCAUGGGGAAACACAACAGAUGCAAUUAAUGUUAGAAAUUCGGAAAGACGUGUGAAUGAUAAUGUGUAUUUAUUUGAAAACUUGUAAGCAUUUACAGGAAUGGUUGAUGGAAAUCCAAACUAUGUCAGGACAACACGAACUGAGCUAAACAUUGCAUGGAGGCCACAUACAGGGGCAAGGAAGCUAUGCGACGAAAAUUAACAGUCUUGGUUACGAUUAAAUGAAGGAUCGAGAAUUUUCAACAGCAAAGGCUACAGGUCGAGAUCACAAACUAAAUGAAGGAGGUAACGACAUCACGGGGAUCAAACUAAGGGUCGCAGCAACCGAUCGUGCUGUAUCAGCAUCGCUAAAAGUCACAAACAAGUGUCAUGCAGUCGCAAGGCAAUACAGGAGCAUAGCCUACAACUAGAUUUUCACACCGUUGCAGAGUAAAGUGGAACAAUGCGUCCGAGCAUCUGGACUUGUCAGGUCGAAAUAAGGAACCUAUGGACUUCACUGUUAACAGCAAAACCAAAGUCUACCACCGAAACAUGAGCUAAGUAUCGCUUAUCUCCAAGGCCGCAGCCCUCGGGCAUUGCAGGAGCUUAAGUAUUUUGUGCACAUAUCUGGAUGCACAUCUUUGGGCGAGAAAAAAGACAUGGAAACUAAGGAAGAGAGUUAGUUUGGGCACAGGGGCACAAUUGUUGCCUCGAGACUCCGCAAACGAAUAGGGGCAAGUACGCGUACUAGGAUGAAGCAGAUUGUAUUCCUUUGCACAGUCCCUUCAACAACAAUCAUAUAACUACAAGACUGACGCAAGAAAAACGCUUUGGAGUGGCACGAGAACACCCUCAUCGUUUGAAGCAAGCCGAGGAUGCUAAGACUGUCGGCCGACUACCAAGAAAUCUAGGUACCAUCUACCAUGAGAAAUUGUCUUAUCAUGUAUUUCACUUGUUGAUUCAUUCGCAAAACCAUAGCGACCACAGUAAACAGAUGCCCGACAUCGAUGAUUACCAAGGGAGAUGGAUCUCGGGGCAAAUGUAGUGAUCCACAAUUGUUAGCGGAGACCGGCCAGUACGAUCCUACGGUAGUGGAAUUACAAGGAAUAUCACGGCACGACAACAACAGUCAGCAAUCUUUGAACCAAGAAUUGCUUUGAAACUUGGCACAAGAAUAGGGGAAAGUAUGCAUACUGCAGACACAGUUUGUAUUCUUCUGCUCAGUUCCUUCAGCAACAAUGAAAAACUCACUGCAAAGUACAUCUGAUGCACCAUUCAGCCAACAUUAUCAACUUACCCAAACAAAAAGCAUUCACCACCGGACUCGUAUCAGAAAAGGAAGCCCGAUAAAACCAAAAAGAGCAGAUCAACAACAGAAUAUCCCAACAAGAAUGCAACAUUGAAACGAUAGUCAGCAGCACCGAGAGAGCUUAUCACCAAAGUUAGACACAGUUGAAUCAUGAACCAUCCGUAUUCAGCUGUUUCGAAUUCAACCCAUUAAGACACUCCAGACACCAACACCAUCUUGAGCAAGUGUUAAAACAGUUGUCACGAAGAGAACUGCUACCAUCCAAGAAUUUCAACUCCAGAUGCAAGCUUAAGCCGAGCCAGAAGUACACCCAAGAAUUUCAGAUCAACCAAAGUGGAUAAUUCCUACAAGAUGAAACUUCACUCCGAGCCGAUUAUCUAUAACAACACGAUUUGAACUCGUCCACAAUAUCGAGAAAAUCCAGAGCCGAUUAAAGAGGAAGUAAGCACGCGACGUCGAGUACAUUCGAAACCUACGAACCAAUCGGGAAGCACAACAAGAUCGGAACCAAGGACAAUGAUAUGCCUAGUCGGGAGGCAUUCUACUCAGAAGCCCAGAUCCAGACAGCUCGCAGCCCAACAGAAAGCCCAAGUCGCCACAAUUUGAGAGUCGGGUAACAAUCAGUUUGACUUUGAAUAAUGCACAGAUAAUCAUCAUCAAUCCAAGACCCGAAAUGAAGGUACCGAAUGCAAGACAUCAACAACAACGCGUAGUAUUUUCUUAAGGAUUUGCUCUUCGAACAAACCUCAAGAAAAGGGGCAUAAAUGUAGGAGAAGAAAAUAUACAAGGACACGUGUCGAGAGAUCUAGGAAGAAGUAGCUUAAUUAGAUACAAUUGUUUGUAGGAAAUAAGACCUUGCUAGCUCUUAUCCUAACUAGUCAACCCUAAGGGCAUUAUUGUAA